ensembl:lncRNA
GAAAAAUGACAAACAGCAUCAAUUGUGAUUUCAACUACUCCUCCCUUGAUGAUGUCAUGGGGACCUGGAUAGAGACCCAGGGCUCAAUUUUUAGUACAUGGUGAAAGUUGUCCUUAACAUGGUUACUAAAAACUUCUCUAUUAUAAUAUAAGUUAUCAUAUCCUGGUAUUCAAGCAAAAGAAAAUGCUAACUCUUGGACUCACGUACUUCAAAAUAAGAUUGUUACGCACAGCAAAAGCAAGAAGGAAGAGGAUUUAGAGGAAUUUGCCCUUAGUUUUCCAUACAGAUUAACCCGGCUAUCAACAGACUCUGAGAUGUCAAGAACUAAGCCAUGGGACGCUCAGAAGAUGCUGGGCCAACUUCGAGAGAAGCUGCCCCUUCAGAAAAACCUGCUGCCUACUCGAUCCAUCCCAAGCAAAGCGAAUCAUGUUCUGGUGGCUGCCAUGAUACCUCCUUCAAGAACCACCUACAUCCCUCCUCUGAGAAGCCCUUUAGAGGACAAGUUACUUAGCACGCGCUUUCCAAAGCAAAAAGCCCGGCUGCAGGAAUUGCUGGGCUACCACAUGUAUGGGUGGCUUAUGGGGAAUACAGAGGCACCGAGCAUCUAUGGGCCACACUUGGUGGUGGAAUUUAACGACAUCAACUUUCCACCCUCAACCAUUGUUCACUCAUCAUGAUGUGUCUCAUUCUGCUAGUUCUUAGUCAUGGUCAGUAGGCGUUCAACAAUGGAGCUCUCCAUCCAGGCAAGAGAACUCUUUUUAUAUUAGUUACUAUCAAUCAUGGACCAAUAGUUCCCUUCCAGUGGAACUGAGAGGACUGGUGGUCUGAAGCCCUUGACAAUUAAUAGCAAUCUGUUGAAUCAGUCUUUAAAAGAACCACUGGAAAUUAUGUGAUUCUAAUAAACAUUGAUGACCUAAAACAAUUAUCUUAUCCAGAGUUAGUCUUUCCAUGGGAAAAAAAAAUCAAUCUCAUCCAAGAAUGACCAGUGAUAAGUAUCAGUUCAUGCCUUCAGUUAAAUUUGUUAAUCUGUUAAUGGAGAAAAUUUGCCUUGUGACAUUGGACCAAUUAUUUUUAGCUCUCUUAAGUAUCAGUUUACUCAUUUUUAAACUGAAGGUGAUAAUAAUUACUUGAUAUGUUCUGCAAAAAGUUUGUGUGAAGCAUUAUGCAAAUAUAACCUAUAACACACUAUAUCCAAAUCUAUGUCAUCUCCAAAAGAUUUUCUGUAGUGGAGUUUUCUUCUCCAUGUCUUGUUUUAUUAAUAUCCUCCCCCCAUCCAGUCAAGUAUUUACUGAGUAUGUACUAUGACUGAGGUCCUGUGAUAGCUAUGCAUUAUGGGGGAUAUAGAAUGAAUAAAAUAGCAAUCUGCCCUUAAAGAGUUAAGGUGUUGGGGACUGAGAGUAGGAGAAAGGAGGAAGUAAGACAGUCACAUAAAUAAGGAAAAAUCAUGAGGAAUCACCUCCUGGCUGAGGUCAUCAGGGAAAGCUUUAAUGGGGAAAACAAGCAUAUGAACUCGGCCUUGAAGUUGAGGAGAGAAUCUACUCUAAGGGCAGGUAUUUUAGGAUGGUGUCCCACAAAGAUCACCAAAGCUAGGAGUCAGGAGUUCAGUAUUCUUGAACAAGUCAUUACCCUUACAAGACACAAGAGUCAAGUGAAAAAAUGGAUUUCAGAGCACUUCAGGAAGUAUUUUUUAAUUGUAAAAAUCUAAAGAAUUUCAUCAGUUUGCUGGAACUAUAAAGAAGAAGUUAUUUGAUUGGAGAUCACUUAGAGGAGUUUGGGAAGAUGUACGAACUUGACUAGACAAGUCCCAAGUCAUUCCUUUCCUCAUCACUCAUGAGAAGACUCGGAUUAGGAGGCAGAGCAACUCCCUAAAGUAUCCCAAGCCAAGGAGGCCAAACCCAAGUCUAAAACCAGCAUUUGGGCUAAUUCAGUCCCUGGAGUUUUGUCUGGAAGUGAAACAGUAGGAGGAGAUGCCUGCAAGCUCUUUACUGGGUGGGAUUACCAAGUCACUGAUUUGCUUAAUAA